ACAUCACCCACCCAGUUUCAAAACACUAGCUGCUCCUCUCUGCCUUCUGCCUCCCUGUUGAUUCCAUGUUUACUUUCUAACAGCAACGUUAAAUAGAUUAUAGAGGAUUCACUUAUUUAAAGACUGCAGUUUAUUUUUGGCUCAUCCAAGAAUAACACAAUACAGUGCUUGAGGGUUCCAGAAGGCUCAAAAUGAAGUCAGUUACCUUUGCCCCAUGGGACAGUAUUGUGUAGUAGAGCAGCAAAUCAGCCAGAGGCUUAGUAGGUCAGCUCAGCAUUGUUUUUACCCUCUGUACCACUCGGCUGGGAGCACACUUCUAUCGGUUGUACUCAGACUUGCUACACCAAGAGGCUCCCUGCACAACUCCCAUCAUGUCUCUCAGGCUCCUGCCUUCUUCCCUCAUGGUCGACGAUGAUGAUGAUGAUGGUAACUUCACAAAAUGGAUGAGUAGUUACUGGGGUCACGGAGCCGAAUGUGGACGCUCCAGAGACAGGAAACGCAGUUUCAGGAGAUCUGCAAAAAUACACGGUGAUCGAAGAGCAUCACUCCCGACUGUGUCACAAUUAGAUGCCAUGAAGUUAAACAGGCUCCACACAGCGACAAUGGCAGCCACCCCAAGCCACAUCAAAACGCGAGAGGAGAAGGGGGAGGUCCGGCCUCACCAGAGAGCUCGUUGUACCUCCUCAGACGACAACAGCCGCUCCAAGUCAGCCAUCCCAGAGAAUCGCAUCACCACUAUCCCAGAGCUCACAGAGUCUUUCCAGAAGAGACUUUUUCUCUGUGAUAAGAGGACCAUGUCUGUGAAUGGUGACUACAAGUUGUGCCCGAUCUGUUAUGAUGACAUGCGCAAGGGUGGAGGGGGAGUUCAAGAGCUGCACUGUGCACACCGCUUCCACAAAGAGUGCAUGGAGCAGUGGCUAUGGAAAAAACAGAUGUGUGUCCACAUGCCGUGUCCACGUGUUCAUGCCGAAUCCCCUCUACUGGUCUUCGUCCCGCAUCAAAGUCCCAUAACGGUCCUUGUACCUACACCUGCCAUGCCUGCAUGUCAAUGAGACCCACUGACCCCCCCCCCCUCCCCCAGAGAUCUACCACAUCUUGGUCAUUCUGCAUGAAUCCGCUGCUCCUUGGUCAACCUGUGCGGAUUUCCUCUAACCUGUACUCGAUGAGGAGAUUUUAGAUCAUCCUCUAUCUUGGGAGGGCUGUAUGAGAGUUAGGGGGCCCCUAGUCUAUAUCCACGACGUUCCACUUCUGGGAUUGCUACGGUGCCAUCGGAAAAUCGGAUUUUAAACUCCGGUGGAUUUGUGAGGACUAUGGUUAACUGCUCCUCAGAUCUCUGCAGGGUAAAUCCAGACAGCUAGCUAGACUAUCUGUCCAAUCUGAGUUUUCUGGUCUGGCAAUGCGAGACUAGGAGGCCCCUUAAUAAGAGAGAUAAAUUGUAAUUGGUGGCGUCUCACACUCUAAAUAUAAAUAGUUAUAUAAGAUUAGAAAGUUAUGUUUAAAUUAUUCCCAAAAUACGAGUGGUUUUGUCUCUUUGUCUACAUUAUGUUAGUGUCAAAAGACUUUCCAGAGACAUUCUAAACUCUGCAUUGAACCUGCAGUUUUUGAAGCAAAUUUCCUCAAGAUUCACUAUGUUUUUUUUUAAAUUGUUACAUUUUUCUUUUUGCAUCUUUGUAAAUCUCAUUUACCUUCAAGGAAUAAUUUUUCAUUUUGGUAAAUUCGUUUAUUUGCUUUCUUGCUGAGAGUUAGAUGAGAAGAUUCAUGGUCACUGAGAUUUCCCUUUUAUAAAAUAAACUUCUUGAAAACACAUUGUUAACUUAAACCAUUUUGUACACCUCUCCCUUGUCGGACAAGAACAAAGGUUAUGUUCCACACUAACUUGCAGAGUGUCAAUAGAAUGUUGAGUAUUUGAAUAUUCAAACUAAUUGCGGCCAGUAUUUUUGGAUGAAUUGUAGAGUCCGUCCAUGUUGAUGACAUAACUAAAUCUUGUGGAAGUAUGUGAUAAGAGCAUGGGCAGAAAUAAUAAUACUUCGCGUUUCACGACAAGUUUGAAAGUGAGUAAGACCAUCCGCCUGUUUUAUGCCUGUGUUAAUCUUUACUCUCAAGUUAUAAAAGCAAACUCCUCCUCCUGA